rnacentral:rRNA from 1 species
ACAGAGUUCGUGCCCUUCGGGGUAGACCUCCCACCCGUGUGAACGAUACCUUUGUUGCUUUGGUCGGCCGCGGGCCCGCCCGCUACCGGCUCUGCUGGUACGCGCCGACCAGAGGCCCUAACUCCUGUUUUCUGUGCCGUCUAAGUCCCAUAUAAUCGUUAAAACUUUCAACAACGGAUCUCUUGGUUCUGGCAUCGAUGAAGAACGCAGCGAAAUGCGAUAAGUAAUGUGAAUUGCAGAAUUCAGUGAAUCAUCGAAUCUUUGAACGCACAUUGCGCCCCUUGGUAUCCCGAGGGGCAUGCCUGUUCGAGCGUCAUUAACACCCCUCAAGCCUGGCUUGGUGUUGGGCCGUGCCGGCGACGGCAGGCCCUAAGAUCAGUAGCGGUGCCCGCUCGGUGCUAAGCGUAGUAACACUCUCGCUAUAGCCCGGCGCGGGCGCCCGCUCCCCACCCCUUCUUACGUUUGACCUCGGAUCAGGUAGGGAUACCCGCUGAACUUAA